rnacentral:lncRNA from 8 species
AUGCUGAAUCAUUUUUUUAUGUCGACAUGCUUGAGACUAACGUCACCUAGUCUAAACCUACUGUACACACCACAUUAUGACAAAUUCCAUAUGAAGAAUAACAGUCUAUUCUCUCCCGUGUGCGUCAGGUGUGUCAGAGAACGCCUUCGUCCUCUUGCCCCGGUUCUGCCGGUAACACCCACAAGUCAAACUGAUCCCGAAGCACCGCGACGAUUCCAUUUACUUCUCAACUUGAGCGCGCACGCUGUCACCGUAAACGAAAAGGUACGGUAUCCUGAUGGGGUGGUGACUGGAUGAAAUGCUAUUCCGCCUCUACUUUACAUUUCAGCAGUGUAAUUACAUAGAUAUGGAAAUUGCCUGUAUGUUAUGACAGCAGCAUAUUCUGCCUCAGGGCAAAAGGUAAACACUAUCCUGUUGGUACUUGUCUGUCAGUGUAUAUAGUAUGACCACACACAGAAAAGACAACAGUAUCUAAAAAAAUAAAACGUUUCUAAAAUAAUAGUAGUGGUCACUUCGCUCUUAAUUGUGUAUAUUUUGUAAAAAAGGUCUCUUAAAAAAAGUUCCAGCCAUGCUGGGUUAGAGGAUUCUUUGAUUGCAGAACUAUUUUUGAACUAUUGAACACCCCACUAAAAAUAUCCACUGUGUAGAUUGUUAUGAACUCUGCUAGUCCCAGGAUGUGGAUGUGGUACUGGGUAGGGCUCAGGAAUGCUAACAGUACAGAACCUGACUGACAGCUUUUAGGACACUUUGUGGUUUUCAAAACCCUUUCUACCCACCCUUAUCUCCCCCCCAAAUUAUGUUUUCCUUUCAUACAUGUGACCACAACAUCUUAGAGUAGAUGUACUGUAUUGAUAUAUAUAAAAAAAAAACAGACAAACUAUAAUCUUCACAAUACUUGGUGUGGAUGAUGGAUGAUGAUGGAGCGGCAGCGUAGCCUAGUGGUUAGAGCGUCGGACUGGUAACCGAAAGGUUGCAAGGUUGAAUCCCCGAGCUGACAAGGUACAGCUCUGUCGUUCUGCCCCUGAACAAGGCAGUUAACCUG